CAUUCAAUACUACAUGUCCAGUCAGUCCAAGUAGUAGCUGCUUGCUUGACCCGGGGCACAGCCCAAGGGGCAACCCGCCGCCGUCGAUAGUUCGCCUUUUUGGUGAAAGGCCUGUCGGCGGGAGGACAUGCCCGAUAUGGAAGGGACGUCGCACAGUGACCCCGGGGCAUAUGACGCAUAUGUCCCCGGCAGGCAGCGUGACUCGACUCUCUGCCCGGUCGAAACGUAUGCCUCUACCAGCGCCCGACGUUUCAACCGCGGAGACCCGCCACGCGACAAGGCGCGCGUGGGCACGGACCGGCGCCAGGCCCCAAGCUGCUGCCUGUUUAUUACGACGCGGCUUCCUUCCUUGGCCUGGAGCUGCUAUCUAUCUCUGCCUCCUUCCCCCUUCUCUCCCCGUCCAUUUGCUGCUGCUUCUUCUCGAGUUUCUCCUCUCCCGCCCUUCAGUCUCUUUGCUGCUCGAGUUCUCUGCUGCUUUGGUUGAUGUUGUUGCUCGUCUCAUGGACAAGUGCUGUUGUUGAUUUUUCAUGAUAUGCACGAGCGGGGGUUUGAUUUCCAUCGCCGCGGCAUGAGAUGAAGGUAGAGCGCACGUGAGCGAGGGCGUCCUUGCCCGAGGCCAAGAGGAAGGAAGGAGGACGGCGCGGCGCAUCCACGGUUCGGUCCCGUCCCGGCGAGGCAAUCGGUGCAGCGACCGCACCGUACGUGGUCGAGCUCGCAGAUGGGCGUGCCGCCAUUGCCGGCGCCGGCACCGUGUCAGGCAGCCUGCAAUGCAAACCGGCUUACUAAUGCUACGGAAUAACCUAGACAAUUCUCAGAUAAAUGGAAAAGGAACCCACUUGUCACUGGCUUAUGGUAAACUUCAAGAGUAUCCUGAUUCCAGUAUAGCCAGAAGAUAUUUUGGCAUCUGCUGUUUUGACAUCACAUGAAUGUUCAUACUUAACUUAGUCCUACCAAACAAAGCUUGCUCACAAGGUUUUCAUUAUCUUUGGCACGAGGUCAGAUUUCUUUAUGCAUAUGUGUGUCUGUUGCUUGGAUCAUAUCCACAAGUACAGUUCUACUCAAUCAAGGGCAGCACACAAACCUUUAUGCCCUGUUUGGCAUGGGUACACUGAUUUGAGCUAAAUACCGAUGCCAUACAUCCAUUCCAAACAGGUUCUUAUGCUGAAUUUAGAAAAUCUACUAGCAGUUGACUCCUUUUGAGUUACGAUGAAACUAUCAAAGGCAGUCACAUCCAUAGUGAAGUAUCCAGUGAGCUUAUUUUGCUCUACCUAUCAUUUACCAACACAUAGUCUCUAAUAUAGCACACACAUUCAGCCCAUUAUCUCAAGAUCUAAGUACUUUAUUUAACUUUGCUAUAGUAGAAUUGAUAAUAAAAAUGGAAACUGCAUACCCUACAUCAGUAGAUAAUAACAUUAUAUGUUCAGUAGGAAUUAAGUUAUGUCUAGUUAGGGCAUCAAGAGCAAGACUGGAAACCAAGAUAGUGAUAAAGCUGUGAGCUACUGAAUUAGUGAAAAUAGCUGAAAACAGAGCCAUUUUUCUGAUGGAGCAAACCAACAGGAACCAGAGACUUGAUGCAUUGACACAAAACCUGAUUACAGGUGUCAAUAGA